GCCUGGAUUAUCCAGCUGGCUGUCACCCACAGCUCAUAAAAAGCCUAAUUCUGACCUAUCACUCCUGGUAGAGCCCCCAGCAAAGGGGAGAGGGAGCCCGGUUCCUAAGCAGGGGAUUUGGGAUACUGCUUAUUUCCUGGGUCUGACUCCUUGUGUCAGCUGCAGCCACAGAGGAGCCUGGAGGGAAAGGGACAUUAUAAAGAUUCCUCUCAAGAUUGGUGCUGUCUUUGGGCUCUUUGAUUUCUGACUUUUAUGCAACUCAGGGAGCACUGGGCAGAGGCUCUGCAGCUCCUCCAGCCCCUUUUCUGAUGGCUACUGCAAGAGCAAAACCGAAACGGGAUCCAGACGCAAUAGGAAGGCUGCUCCGCAGUCUGCUCACCAGGGGGCACCAGCGGCCACGAGCGGCCUCCCAGCCGGAGUGGGAAGGAAAUGCCAGGCCAGCAGGUGGCAGUGCCCUUCUGGGACCCAAGUCCGGAAAGAGUCCAGAUUCAUCGAAGUGUCCCUGAACCGCAAGACUGGGCCAAGAGUACCUGCUCCAUGCCUCCUGAGUGAUGGCAGCUCCGUCACCCUACUUGCCACAUGU